UUCGAUCCUCUCCCCAGUUUGGUGUUACCUUGGUCACUUAUGAACUUCUCCAGCGGUGGUUUUACAUUGAUUUUGGAGGCCUCAAACCCGCUGGUUCAGAACCAACACCUAAGUCACGCAUUGCAGACCUUCCUCCUGCCAACCCUGAUCACAUCGGUGGAUACAGACUCGCCACAGCCACGUUUGCAGGCAUCGAAAACAAAUUUGGCCUUUAUCUCCCGAAAUUUAAGUCUCCUAGUGUUGCUGUGGUUCAGCCAAAGGCAGCAGUGGCAGCCACUCAGUGAUGAGACAACUGUUGAGUGUGGCAAAAUGGCGCCUUGAAGAAAGAGGCCUAGGAGAGCAGCCCUGUAAUGUAUCCAGUCAGCUGCAUGGUACUGACUGAGCUGAGGAGUCAAACUCUUCUUUCUGUAUGACAUAUACAUAUACUUGUUUAUAAAAUAAUCAUUUGCCCAGGGAAAAAACCACAACGCUGUUUCAAGCUUUAGUCUUAUGUGUUGAAAUGUUUUUGUAAGCCUUGGCAUGAAUUAGUGUUCUAGACUCUGCUUUGCACAGCUUGCACUUACAGUGAUUGUACAUAUUGUACAUCUUUGUACAGAGACAUCUUGGCACCUCAUCCCAACAAAUCACAUUUGUAGAAAUGUAAUGCGGUUCUGAGUGGCUUGAAAUGUACAGAAUGUUUUGAAAGUGUUUUAUUAAGAAUCACACAAAAAUAAAUGUAUUAAAAUUAAAUUCAUUCUCUUAUUGGUGACUUAUGGAAAUAAAG
rnacentral:lncRNA from 1 species